UACGUAGGUGGCAAGCGUUGUCCGGAUUUACUGGGCGUAAAGAGCGCGCAGGCGGUCGUGCAAGUCGCGUGUGAAAGCCCCCGGCUCAACUGGGGAGGGUCACGCGAUACUGCUCGACUUGAAGGCAGGAGAGGGAAGUGGAAUUCCCGGUGUAGUGGUGAAAUGCGUAGAUAUCGGGAGGAACACCUGUGGCGAAGGCGGCCGACUGGGCCGACCCUGACGCUGAGGCGCGAAGGCGUGGGGAGCGAACGGG
rnacentral:rRNA from 1 species